GACGUAGGGCGCGAGCGUUGUCCGGAUUUAUUGGGCGUAAAGAGCUCGUAGGCGGCUUGUUGCGUCGACCGUGAAAACCCGGGGCUCAACUUCGGGCUUGCGGUCGAUACGGGCGGGCUAGAGUUCGGUAGGGGAGACUGGAAUUCCUGGUGUAGCGGUGAAAUGCGCAGAUAUCAGGAGGAACACCGGUGGCGAAGGCGGGUCUCUGGGCCGUAACUGACGCUGAGGAGCGAAAGCAUGGGGAGCGAACAGG
rnacentral:rRNA from 1 species